rnacentral:tRNA from 1 species
GCCCGUCUAGCCCAGUCGGUAGAGCGCAAGGCUCUUAACCUUGUGGUCCUGGGUUCAAGUCCCAGGGUGGGCG